CUUUUCUCCUUCUCCUUCUCCUUCUCCUCUUUUACAGACACAUUGAGCUACUUCCUCAACUCCGUCAACAAAAACAACAAAUAUAACUCACAAAGAAGGUUAGAUUUUUGCUAAAUGUUAUGGAUCUUGAACCUGGUACUAUGGAUUCACUUAGAUGUGGUCCUUUUGGUUAGAUCGUUGGACCUGAUAACUCUGUUUUCGGCCAAUCUGGUGCUUGUAAUAACUAGGCUAAACGUCAUUAUACUGAAGGGUGAAGAUUUUCUGUUGGAGAAAUUGAAAGUGGAGCAAUGUAAAGUUUAUUUGAGGAAGAAGGGUUUGAGGUUAACGGUGAAGAAAGACGUUCUUAUUGAAUAGAUCAGGGAACAUCUUGGGGUCAUAAAUGGUAGUGGAGAACAGUAGUGUCCAGUAUCCAUCUUUGUGUAUAAUUUCAAGUCUCUUUGCACCUUACUGAAGAUGGUCUUUGGUGCUUUUCCUUUAGAAACCCCAACUACUCCCCAGGAUGUGAAUAUAUUGUACCCUAGGGUCAAGGAGCUCAUACAAAAGCAUCUUGAUGCUGUGAUAUCCUCUCAGAUAUCCCUUGAAUCUGCAAACUCCAUGAUAAGCUUUGUUCUGUCUGUAAUAAAGGUUUUGACGGAGGUGCAGAAGUUCUUCAUAGACCCAUUCCUUUUGCCAUUAACUCGUGUUCUUCAACGCCUUGCACGGGAUAUGGGCUCAUCUGCAGCUUCUCAUGUGAGACAAGUAUGCUCCGCCUCCCUGAUAUAAUAUUUUCUUUUAUGGACUUUUGAUUAUGGGAUCGUCUGCAGGUUCUUGUGUGUGACAAGUGUUCCACUUCCGUAUGGUUUUACAUUUAUUUAUUUUUAAUUUAAGAAACAUGUUGUGCCAGUUCCUUCAUUGUACUCUCAUGGUUUCUCCAAAAGUUAGCAUCAGGCACCUAUUUUUAUUUUCUCUCAGUAAAUUAUUAGAUAUGUAGCAACCACCCAAUGAUCAUGAAUGGGAUAAUUCUCUUAAAGAACAUAUUGGAUGGUGUUUUUGGUCAUCAAUUUGCUUUGCAAGGAAGUUUUAAUCGGUUGAUUGAACAGUCCUCGUACAAUCAUUGAUACUCAUUCCACCUACUGUACAUUCUUAUCCUAUUGGUUGUUGUUCUAGAAUUUACUUGAUGAAAGUUAAUUUAUCGGAAUCUUGUCCACUUGCAAAAACUAAAAACAUCUGGUACUUGCACUUGGGAUGUCGUAAUGUUUGAACAAAAUGUCAGCCUUUAAGCUAUCUAUCUUUUGGUUCAAUAAGAUUUUUAAUGAAUUCCAAAGCCGUUUAAUUGUCCUGCUUGUUUUGUAAUUUGAUUACACUGCCUUUUAUCAUAGCACCUAGGAGUGCUACUGGCCCUCCAUUUGGAACUAGAACUGUUGCAGGUCGUAUUUUGAAAGAAAGCUAUGGUUCUGCUAACCAGCAACAGACAUUUACGAUUGAAGUAUUAAGGAGCAAAAAAGAGGAACCACUUCCUCCUUAACCCUCUUCUAAUUAAGGGUUGAAACUUUAUGAUCUAAACACAAUGAGGUAGGUCAGUCCAGUCCAGUCCAGUUACGGAAUAUUUUUUCUGCUGUUUUUGGCGUAUAUGAUUUUUUCUUUUUUGCGUACUCCUGAGCUAAACUCUGUUCACAUAUUUCAUUUAUAUGCGGAUGAGGAGAUAAGCAGGCAGGUCUAAUAAAUAAGCAAGAAUGAACAAAAGGAAAUGUGGAAGAAGGGUACUGGACAAAGGUGAACUUCUAAAGUCUGUCCUGCUUGUCAACAAUAACGUCUUGGGUUUUGUUUGAAAGUCCCAAUGCACAAAAUAUAAAUUCAGUUUGUUUUUGUUUUUGCCAUUUCUUGAUUUAUUUGAAGCUAUUUAGUAUUUAGCCUUUAGUAGUACACAUAUGUAAUUGCUGCUAUCACAAAGAUAGCAGAUGACUUUACAAGUUCUCUUAAAUUCUUAGUUUUUGUGAUUAUCUCCAAGGAGUAUUGUACUUGGCUAAUGGAAUCGGAAUGUGGUGGUUUCCCCCAUCACCAAGAUGGUCGUUAUUACGCGUCAUACAAGAAAAGGGAAAUACAAUAUAAGCUGCAAUACGGGCAUGUUCAUCACCUCCUCAAUCUUCCCAUUUAGUCUUAUUUAACGUUUUCAUUUUGCUUCAAUUUUUUUGAUUAAUGAAUUAUUUUAUGACAAGGAGAACAGUUCCAGUUUGCAGUUUCUAUUUUGAAUGUUGGAAACAUAACUUGUUUAUUCUACUAUAGUGGGUCUGAAGUUGACAUCUAUGUGUUUGUCACUGUUGCUUGUUUUUCAGCAAGGAAAGGAUGUUAGAUUUGGUUGACUACAAUGUGAAGAAGAUGUUUGAUGUCAAACUGAAGGAGAUGCUGCAUUGACAACUCAGAUAGCAGAGGAGACUGAGAUAUCCGUGGUCAUUGAAACUGUUAAACAACGGAAGCCAUUUUCGAAGGAAAAUGCUUGAAAGCACUUAUUGUUGGUGCUGGUUUGAUCAGGUAUGGAAGCUCAUUGCUUGUACUAUUUGUGAGAUAACAGGGAGCUCAAUAUAUCUUUCAGGAUUUCCCAUUAUGCCAAAGGUUCCAAACUAGACGAUUAUCAAGUCUUUGGCAUUUAAAUGUUCUGUUACUGAUUAUGUUCAACAUCUUUUAUUCCUGUUAAGUCACUUGAGUCAUUUUCAACAUCUUCUUUUGUCAGCUUUAGGUUUUUAUUUUUUUCCUUAGAAAUAAUCAAUCAGAAUUACAACUCAUCAAGAUUCGGAACUUUCAAGAUCAAAGAUA